rnacentral:rRNA from 1 species
CCUACGGGUGGCUGCAGUGGGGAAUAUUGCACAAUGGGGGAAACCCUGAUGCAGCGACGCCGCGUGAGUGAAGAAGUAUUUCGGUAUGUAAAGCUCUAUCAGCAGGGGAGAAAUAGCGACCUUUGGGUCGCCAGACGGUACCUGAUUAAGAAGCCCCGGCUAACUACGUGCCAGCACCCGCGGUAAUACGUAGGGGGCACGCGUUAUCCGGGUUUACUGGGGGUAAAGGGAGCGUAGACGGCAGCGCAAGGCUGAAGUGAAAUGCCGGGGCCUAACCCCGGAACUGCCUUUGAAACUGUGCAGCUAGAGUGCAGGAGAGGUAAGUGGAAUUCGUAGUGUAGCGGUGAAAUGCGUAGAUAUUAGGAGGAACACCAGUGGCGAAGGCGGCUUACUGGACUGUAACUGACGUUGAGGCUCGAAAGCGUGGGGAGCAAACAGGAUUAGAUACCCCUGUAGUC